rnacentral:lncRNA from 1 species
GAUACCAUCUCACUCCAGUAAGAUUGGCAGCCAUUAUGAAAGCAAACAACAACAAGUGCUAGAGAGGAUGUGGGGAAAAGGGUACACUUGUACACUGCUGGUGGGACUGCAAAUUGGUAAAUAUCUUUUUUUAAACCUUUGUCAUAUAACUCUAAUAUUUCUGUAACCUAAGGUUGAGACCUUCGUCACUUCACACAAUCUACUGUUUGUUGUUCUUUUCAAAUUCUAUUUGAUAUCCUUCUGGUUCUAGAUGUGAUGAGUGAUUUUUAAAAAUUAAAAAAUCUGGAUAUUUUGGAUACUUUCCUAUGAGAUUCUUGAUUGUAUUCAAUCCUUCCAUUUUAAUUGACUUUCACUGACUCUGUUUCAGCUGGGAAGAAGAAGUGCUGCUUCAUUGCUGUCAGGUGCAUAUAGAGUAUGUUUUCUCCUUUUUUUUUUUUUAACUAAUAGAGCUGACAACUUAAUUUUCACAUUUCACAAUACCAAUGGAAAGAUAUUUUUUCUGAUCAGCUUUUCCCCUUGAAAAACUAUUCUAUCUUUGAUAGGAAGAAGGAGGAAGUCUUCCUGGUCAUGCUGUUAUGAAACACCCAGUCACAGCUUCAUGAUUGCCUGGUGAAUUAGAGCAAUUAAUAAAAAAAUUGAUCAAAAGAGGCUCCCGUCUAUCCUCCUCUGUCCAGCUGAGUCAUUCCUGGCAAAGUGAGUGCCAUCAAGGAAGAGUGGGAGGACUUUUCAUUGGAGGCCCAGGCAGCAUUGGCAUGUGGCCUUCCAUGGGUGGCUUCAUUCCUGGAGAAAGUCCCCUGGGUUCAUCCCAGGAGAAGGAAGGACCGUCAUUGGCAUCAUGGGAAGACCUCCCAGAUGGGGUGCUGGCCUCAGGGCCAAGGAGGACCCAGUGGACUAAGGGGAGACACGAAGAUCACCCCUGCCAGAAAAGAACAGAGAGUGAAGGUAUCUUUGCCGAAUUGCAGCCAUUGUUAUAUCAACCAGGCUCUGAGUCUGCUCUGUCUUCCAUUUCUGAAGGUUCCUAGGAGAACAUGAGAUAAGACAUAUGUAUUAAUUUUACUGAAGAUGUGUGUUAAUGAAUGGAAUGCAAUCUUA